GUAGGAUCCUUCCAGCUGAGUGGCUAGAUCUAUUUUGAGUGUAUUCCGUGCUAUCCAGUGUUCUAUGACUGGUGCACCAGAUGGUAUUAGUGAUAUCCUCUCUGUGAAACACUUCGUUAAGUUCUACUUGAGGUGGCAUGGUUUGUUAUGUAGGAUCCUUCCAGCUGAGUGGCUAGAUCUAUUUUGAGUGUAUUCCGUGCUAUCCAGUGUUCUAUGACUGGUGCACCAGAUGGUAUUAGUGAUAUCCUCUCUGUGAAACACUCCGUUAAGUUCUACUUGAGGUGCCAUGGUUUGUUAUGUAGGAUCCUUCCAGCUGCACGGCUAGAUCUAUUUUGAGUGUAUUCCGUGCUAUCCAGUGUUCUAUGACUGGUGCACCAGAUGGUAUUAGUGAUACCCUCUCUGUGAAACACUACGUUAAGUUCUACUUGAGGUGGCAUGGUUUGUUAUGUAGGAUCCUUCCAACUGAGUGGCUAGAUCUAUUUUGAGUGUAUUCCGUGCUAUCCAGUGUUCCAUGACUGGUGCACCAGAUGGUAUUAGUGAUACCCUUUCUAUGGGGAAGUACAUGUGAAACACCUUGUUGUUCUACUUGAGGUGGCAUGGUUUGUUAUGUAGGAUCCUUCCAGCUGAGUGGCUAGAUCUAUUUUGAGUGUAUUCCGUGCUAUCCAGUGUUCCAUGACUGGUGCACCAGAUGGUAUUAAUGAUACCCUUUCUAUGGGGAAGUACAUGUGAAACACCUUGUUGUAUUCAAGAAUAAUAAGCAUGUCUGCGGGAACUGAUUUCUUCUUCCAUUCAUACACAGAAAGCUUCAUCUCCACCACAAUUGUUUUAUUUUAUAAAGCAAGGAUUGCAUUUAUCAUAAAGUCUGACAUCCGUUAGUCGGAGUUCAAAUGUAAAUUUAUUUAUUCUACAUUUAUAAUGUAUUUUUUAAAUAAUAAUAAUAAUAAUAACAAUAAAUUAUUUAAUAACGAAAACUUUUUUAUUAAGUAAAACAAAGCAAACAACGUGUUUUUGUUUCUUUUAUCAGUAUUAAUAUAACUACAGAUAACCAAUUGUUUUGAAGUACAACAUGUAUACGGCUGUGAAGAUUUAUUUUCUUUUGUUUUGUUAUGUCUUUUAUAGAUGGUCUUGUACUUUCACUGCCCCGUUGGUUUUCAGUGUUUGCGAAUUCGGUCUAGCGCUAAUCAGUCGUUAUUCAGCGUUCAUCUCCCGUUUGUCACUCCAAAAUAAAAUAAAAUAAAAUUUUAAUUAAACUAAACUUUAAUUAAACUAAAAUUGUUACAAAUGUCACGAAAAUAUGAUUUUGGUUUAACUGCUAUACUGCUAUCUGGGGCUAUACUGGCCUUGGGUGCACGUUGAGAGUUUACAGACGCAGAUUGAAAAGAAAAUGUUUAAAGCCAUGGUUCGUUGCU